rnacentral:rRNA from 1 species
UCCGUAGGUGAACCUGCGGAGGGAUCAUUACUGAGUUGAAAAACUCCAACCCGUGUGAACCUUACCUCUGUCGUUGCUUCGGCGGCCUAAGCCCCCUCGGGGCCGAAGCCGCCGGAGGUACCAAACUCUGAAUUUUUAGUACAUCUCUGAGCCUAAAAACAAUAAUCAAAACUUUCAACAACGGAUCUCUUGGUUCUGGCAUCGAUGAAGAACGCAGCGAAAUGCGAUAAGUAAUGUGAAUUGCAGAAUUCAGUGAAUCAUCGAAUCUUUGAACGCACAUUGCGCCCGCCGGUACUCCGGCGGGCAUGCCUGUUCGAGCGUCAUUUCACCACUCAAGCCCGGCUUGGUGUUGGGGCACCCGGCCGCCACCGGCCCGGGGCCCAUCCAUCGGCCAGGCUGCUCGUGCGGAACUCUGAGCGCAGUAACUCGCGGUAAAACGCGCUUCGUUCGGCUUGUUCGGGCGGGUCCCAGCCGCUAAACCCCUAAUUUUUCUUAGGUUGACCUCGGAUCAGGUAGGAAUACCCGCUGAACUUAA